rnacentral:rRNA from 1 species
AGUGAACGCUGGCGGUAGGCCUAACACAUGCAAGUCGAACGGCAGCACAGUAAGAGCUUGCUCUUACUGGUGGCGAGUGGCGGACGGGUGAGGAAUACAUCGGAAUCUACUUUUUCUUGGGGGAUAACGUAGGGAAACUUACGCUAAUACCGCAUACGACCUACGGGUGAAAGCAGGGGAUCUUCGGACCUUGCGCGAUUGAAUGAGCCGAUGUCGGAUUAGCUAGUUGGCGGGGUAAAGGCCCACCAAGGCGACGAUCCGUAGCUGGUCUGAGAGGAUGAUCAGCCACACUGGAACUGAGACACGGUCCAGACUCCUACGGGAGGCAGCAGUGGGGAAUAUUGGACAAUGGGCGCAAGCCUGAUCCAGCCAUACCGCGUGGGUGAAGAAGGCCUUCGGGUUGUAAAGCCCUUUUGUUGGGAAAGAAAAGCAGCAGGUUAAUACCCCGCUGUUCUGACGGUACCCAAAGAAUAAGCACCGGCUAACUUCGUG